AUGUCUUGUAAGCACAAUCGUUUAGAGAUUAAAAGGCAAUCAUCUUUCUAGUUACCAGAAUAAGAGGCAUAAACGAAAUGACAAACCAAAUCUACAAUGAAGAAAGAACUGAAGCUGAACUAUCUCCUCACCGAGUGCUUAUUCGAACCAAUCUGCCUCUCAAAGACUCGGAAGUAGUAAAGCAAAUACACGCCAAAGAGCAAUUCUGAGGUGGAGGAGAAGGCGAAACUCGAUUUGAUCAGCUUCCAUAUCCUAAACUUCUCAAAAACAUCCUACAAUCAAAUUGCCAUAAGAUUAUCAAUACAAUGUUUUUUUUCUUCAUUACAAAUUACAAGCCUUUCACAAAAAAGGAAGAGACUUUCAUAACAGUUACUCUACAGAGACACCAAAACAAGAAGCUUUUAAACAAUCAAACAUCUUUGGCAUACACAAUCACAUGAGCAGAGGCAAGUUAUCUAACACAUGAUGAUGGUCAUUAUCAAACUAUCUAACAUAAUGGUAACAUCUCUUUGAAGCCUAAAGAUCUUUAAUUUAGCUUCUCCCCCACUCAAUAAAGCAACAACCUUUGAAACCAAAGUGGAAACCUAACAAUAAACAACAGUUCUUAUGUAACCUAUAAGAGCUUGAAAUCGAACAAAGAGUAAAGAGAAGACAUUUGAAAAAGGAGAUUCACUACCUGAUAAGACAAGGCGAGCUUGGAAGAAGAACCUCCUCCUCCUCCGCGGAUCCCGAAGAAGACAGUGAAGAGGACGCUCGUGAUGACGAAGGCUCGCGUGACGGGAGCGUUAUCUGCAAAAAGUUGGAAACUUUCGAUCGUUAAAUCGAAAACCCAUGAUGGAAAAUUACAAUAAUUUGAUCGAAUCAAAGGAGGGGAUGGGUUAUUGAGGGAGGGUGCGUAACUGAAACCAGAAGGACCUCCGUUCAUCGUUGUAAUCGGGGAUGAACAGAAAAAGACAAAACAGUCGCGGAGAGGAAGCUCGUGGUGGAAUGAAUCUGGAAUUGUGUUUUUCUACCCAAGGAAAGGAAGGAUCUUUCCAGGAAUUUUCAGUAAUCUCUCUAAUUUCAAAUAAACAUCACUCAGAUAAUAAUAAGGAUAAUAAUAUUAAUUUUAUAUACACUUUUUUAUGAGAUCAUUAUUCCUUUUAUUUCUAAAACACAUAUUAAAAUAAUAAUUUAACUUUAAACAUAUAUAAAUAUAAGUUAGAUCAUUUUCUGUAACUCCAAAACUAAUACCACUUCAAAAAAUACAUAUAAUUGUGGUUAAGAGAUAUUUUUACACUUUAAAUUUUGUUACCAUUAAAAACUUAAAAAAAAAUUAGUAUAUUUAUCAUUUAGAAGUAAGUUGUAAAUAAAUAAAAAUCAGCAAAGAUUCCGGAAUAUUUCGUAUCUUCUUUUUCUUAGAACGAAUAUUUCGUAUCCUUUUGAGAUAAAUUAUCAGCAUAUGCUAUAAAUUAAUUAAAUAAUAUUACAAGUAAGAUCCUUACUUUUCCUUUUUCUUGUAAAUCUAACAUUCUAGUUUUAAUGCAUUCUGAGGUGGAGGAGAAGGCGAAACUCGAUUUGAUCAGCUUCCAUAUCCUAAACUUCUCAAAAACAUCCUACAAUCAAAUUGCC
rnacentral:lncRNA from 1 species